CAAAAGUGUUACAGGGAGAAAAUAUUAAGUACCAACAUAUGUACUACGUCAAGUUCCCUCUAAAGGAUAAGGUUUCCGUUGAAAUGGAAGGUUCCUUUCAAUACAAAAAUAACUUGGUUACCAGCAAAUGUGGUUCGAAAGCGUUCUUUAAACACCAUCUUGUAUAUCUUGAUUCGGACUACGUGUGUGCAAUCAUCCGGGUUUCACCGAUGUUUACCAGUAAACUGAAGCCUUGGUACGAGCUGCGAGUACGGAACCCGUUCCUUAUAAGAUAUCGCCGUCCUUCGAUCACUUGCCAACACUAUUUCAACCUCGAAGCAAAGCAAGGACGUCUUAUUUA